CCUACGGGGGGCUGCAGUCGAGAAUUUUUCACAAUGGGCGAAAGCCUGAUGGAGCGACGCCGCGUGGGGGAUGAAUGGCUUCGGCCCGUAAACCCCUGUCAUUUGCGAGCAAUGCUCCACGUUGAACAGACGUGGAGUUGAUAGUAGCGAAAGAGGAAGGGACGGCUAACUCUGUGCCAGCAGCCGCGGUAAUACAGAGGUCCCAAGCGUUGUUCGGAUUCACUGGGCGUAAAGGGUGCGUAGGCGGUGGGGUAAGUUUGAUGUGAAAUCCCCGGGCUCAACUCGGGAACGGCAUUGAAUACUAUCCUGCUUGAGGAUCGGAGGGGAGACUGGAAUUCUCGGUGUAGCAGUGAAAUGCGUAGAUAUCGAGAGGAACACCAGUGGCGAAGGCGAGUCUCUGGACGAUUCCUGACGCUGAGGCACGAAAGCUAGGGGAGCAAACAGGCUUAGAUACCCUGGUAGUC
rnacentral:rRNA from 1 species